UACGAAGGGGGCUAGCGUUGUUCGGAUUUACUGGGCGUAAAGCGCACGUAGGCGGAUCUUUAAGUCAGAGGUGAAAUCCCUCGGCUCAACCGAGGAACGUCGAUCGAUACUGCUGUUCUUGAGGAUUGCAGAGGAGACUGGAAUUCCCGGUGUAGCGGUGAAAUGUGUAGAGAUCGGGAGGAACACCGGUGGCGAAGGCGGGUCUCUGGGCAAUAACUGACGCUGAGGAGCGAAAGCGUGGGGAGCGAACAGG
rnacentral:rRNA from 1 species